ACGACCUUACUUGAACAGGAUCUGUUCUAUAGGAUCGUACAGUUGCAUCCUUGACUAAUAAGGAGGCAAGCAUUUAAGCUUGGUUGAUGAUAUCUGACCUGUGUGCCAGAGCGUGAUUAACGGCUUGGAUCACAUGCUGAUCUAUGGCUGUAGAUGAUCGUUCCUGUUCAGCCUGCCUGACAACAGGGGUGGCUCACAGGUUGUCUGACAAGUC